UACAGAGGUCUCGAGCGUUAGGCGGAAUCACUGGGCUUAAAGCGUGUGUAGGUGGAUCGUUAAGUACCUUGUGAAAUCCCACGGCUUAACCGUGGAACUGCUUGGUAUACUGGCGGUCUUGAGCCAGCUAGGGGCUACCGGAACAAAUGGUGGAGCGGUGAAAUUCGUAGAUAUUCGCAAGAACACCAGUGGCGAAGGCGGCUCACUGGCCCGGUACUGACGCUGAGGCACGAAAGCGUGGGGAGCAAACAGG
rnacentral:rRNA from 1 species